GGAGAGUUGUCCGAGUUGGCCGAAGGAGCACGAUUGGAAAUCGUGUAGGCAAUCAAAAAUUGUCUCAAGGGUUCGAAUCCCUUACUCUCCG
rnacentral:tRNA from 1 species